rnacentral:rRNA from 1 species
GACCAAGGAGUGUAGCAAGUGCGGGAGUAGCCAGGAAUUGAUUAGGCCCGGAGGCGCAAUGAAAGUGAAGGGACUUGUUGAAACUGGUCCCGUUACCCGCGAUCCCUCCCGGAGACGGGGGGGCGCAACGGGGGGCCGCCACACGGGCACUUGUGGCCUGGCGGAGCUCGAGCGAACACGUUGGGACCCGAAAGAUGGUGAACUAUGCACGGACGGGUUGAGGACAGAGGAAACUCUGUUGAAGGACCGCCGCGGUUCUGACGUGCAAAUCGAUCGACAGAUCUGUGUAUAGGGGUGAAAGGGCAAUCGAACCAUCUAGUAGUUGGUUCCCUCCGAAGUUUCCCUCAGGAUAGGUGGCACUCAUUAUGAAAUUAGUCACAUCCCGUAAAGCGAAUGAUUAGAGGCCUUGGGGGCGAAACGUCCUCAACCUAUUCUCAAACUUAAAAAGGGUGCGACGCCCGCCCUACCUGAAAACUAGGACGUAAGGUUGGUUUGAGAGUGCCCAGUGGUCCACUUUU